GGGUUGUGAGGUUAAGCGACUAAGCGUACACGGUGGAUGCCCUGGCAGUCAGAGGCGAUGAAGGGCGUGCUAAUCUGCGAUAAGCGCCGGUAAGGUGAUAUGAACCGUUAUAACCGGCGAUACCCGAAUGGGGAAACCCAGUGUGAUUCGUCACACUAUCAUUAACUGAAUCCAUAGGUUAAUGAGGCGAACCGGGGGAACUGAAACAUCUAAGUACCCCGAGGAAAAGAAAUCAACCGAGAUUCCCCCAGUAGCGGCGAGCGAACGGGGAGGAGCCCAGAGCCUGAAUCAGCAUGUGUGUUAGUGGAAGCGUCUGGAAAGGCGCGCGAUACAGGGUGACAGCCCCGUACACAAAAGCGCAUGUGCUGUGAGCUCGAUGAGUAGGGCGGGACACGUGGUAUCCUGUCUGAAUAUGGGGGGACCAUCCUCCAAGGCUAAAUACUCCUGACUGACCGAUAGUGAACCAGUACCGUGAGGGAAAGGCGAAAAGAACCCCGGCGAGGGGAGUGAAAAAGAACCUGAAACCGUGUACGUACAAGCAGUGGGAGCACCCUUUGGGGUGUGACUGCGUACCUUUUGUAUAAUGGGUCAGCGACUUAUAUUCUGUAGCAAGGUUAACCGUAUAGGGGAGCCGAAGGGAAACCGAGUCUUAACCGGGCGUUAAGUUGCAGGGUAUAGACCCGAAACCCGGUGAUCUAGCCAUGGGCAGGUUGAAGGUUGGGUAACACUAACUGGAGGACCGAACCGACUAAUGUUGAAAAAUUAGCGGAUGACCUGUGGCUGGGGGUGAAAGGCCAAUCAAACCGGGAGAUAGCUGGUUCUCCCCGAAAGCUAUUUAGGUAGCGCCUCGUGAAUUCAUCUCCGGGGGUAGAGCACUGUUUCGGCUAGGGGGCCAUCCCGGCUUACCAACCCGAUGCAAACUGCGAAUACCGGAGAAUGUUAUCACGGGAGACACACGGCGGGUGCUAACGUCCGUCGUGAAGAGGGAAACAACCCAGACCGCCAGCUAAGGUCCCAAAGUCAUGGUUAAGUGGGAAACGAUGUGGGAAGGCCCAGACAGCCAGGAUGUUGGCUUAGAAGCAGCCAUCAUUUAAAGAAAGCGUAAUAGCUCACUGGUCGAGUCGGCCUGCGCGGAAGAUGUAACGGGGCUAAACUAUGCACCGAAGCUGCGGCAGCGA
rnacentral:rRNA from 1 species